UACGGGGGGGGCAAGCGUUGUUCGGAAUUACUGGGCGUAAAGGGCUCGUAGGCGGCCAACUAAGUCAGACGUGAAAUCCCUCGGCUUAACCGGGGAACUGCGUCUGAUACUGGAUGGCUGGAGUUUGGGAGAGGGAUGCGGAAUUCCAGGUGUAGCGGUGAAAUGCGUAGAUAUCUGGAGGAACACCGGUGGCGAAGGCGGCAUCCUGGACCAAUACUGACACUGAGGAGCGAAAGCCAGGGGAGCAAACGGG
rnacentral:rRNA from 1 species